rnacentral:miRNA from 1 species
AAGUUAUCCUUCCCUUUAGAAGAACUAUAAUUUUUGUUUAGAACUGAAGUAUUCAUGAACAAAAUUACUUCAGUUCUAAACAAAAAUUACAGUUCUUCUAGAAAGGAAAGGAUAACUUAAAACUCUG